rnacentral:rRNA from 1 species
UACGUAGGGGGCAAGCGUUGUCCGGAAUCAUUGGGCGUAAAGAGCGUGUAGGCGGUUCGGUAAGUCUGCUGUGAAAGUCCAAGGCUCAACCUUGGAAAGCCGGUGGAUACUGUCGAGCUCGAGUCCGGAAGAGGCGAGUGGAAUCCUGGUGUAGCGGUGAAAUGCGCAGAUAUCAGGAGGAACACCAAUGGCGAAGGCAGCUCGCUGGGACGGUACUGACGCUGAGACGCGAAAGCGUGGGGAGCAAACAGGAU